rnacentral:rRNA from 1 species
AUUGAACGCUGGCGGCAGGCUUAACACAUGCAAGUCGAGCGGAGAGAGGUAGCUUGCUACUGAUCUUAGCGGCGGACGGGUGAGUAAUGCUUAGGAAUCUGCCUAUUAGUGGGGGACAACAUUUCGAAAGGAAUGCUAAUACCGCAUACGUCCUACGGGAGAAAGCAGGGGAUCUUCGGACCUUGCGCUAAUAGAUGAGCCUAAGUCGGAUUAGCUAGUUGGUGGGGUAAAGGCCUACCAAGGCGACGAUCUGUAGCGGGUCUGAGAGGAUGAUCCGCCACACUGGGACUGAGACACGGACCAGACUCCUACGGGAGGCAGCAGUGGGGAAUAUUGGACGAUGGGCGGAAGCCUGAUCCAGCCAUGCCGCGUGUGUGAAGAAGGCCUUAUGGUUGUAAAGCACUUUAAGCGAGGAGGAGGCUACUUUAGUUAAUACCUAGAGAUAGUGGACGUUACUCGCAGAAUAAGCACCGGCUAACUCUGUGCCAGCCGCCGCGGUAAUAC